rnacentral:rRNA from 1 species
GUUAAGUGACUAAGCGUAUACGGUGGAUGCCUAGGCAGUUAGAGGCGAUGAAGGACGUGUAAGUCUGCGAAAAGCUGUGGUGAGUUGACAAAACGCAUUUGAACCACAGAUGUCCGAAUGGGGAAACCCACCGCUUCGGCGGUAUCUGCACCUGAAUACAUAGGGUGUAGAGGCAAACGAGGGGAACUGAAACAUCUAAGUACCCUUAGGAAAAGAAAUCAACCGAGAUUCCGAGAGUAGUGGCGAGCGAAAUUGGAACAGCCUGUACGA